rnacentral:rRNA from 1 species
GGUCAUGGCCAAACCUCCUUGUCAAAGCCUGAUCUCAGAAGCUAAGCAGGGCCUUGUUGGUACUUAGAUGGGAGACUGCUGAAAAUUUCUAUUAUUC